rnacentral:rRNA from 1 species
AGAGUUUGAUCCUGGCUCAGGAUGAACGCUGGCGGCAUGCCUAAUACAUGCAAGUCGAACGAGAGGAAGGAAAGCUUGCUUUUCUGAAUCUAGUGGCGAACGGGUGAGUAACACGUAGGUAACCUGCCCAUGUGCCCGGGAUAACUUCUGGAAACGGAUGCUAAAACCGGAUAGGUAGCAGACAAGCAUUUGACUGCUAUUAAAGUGGCUUUGGCCAUGAACAUGGAUGGACCUGCGGUGCAUUAGCUGGUUGGUGAGGUAACGGCCCACCAAGGCGACGAUGCAUAGCCGGCCUGAGAGGGCGGACGGCCACAUUGGGACUGAGACACGGCCCAAACUCCUACGGGAGGCAGCAGUAGGGAAUUUUCGUCAAUGGGGGGAACCCUGAACGAGCAAUGCCGCGUGAGUGAGGAAGGUCUUCGGAUCGUAAAGCUCUGUUGUAAGAGAAAAACGACAUUCAUAGGGAAUGAUGAGUGAGUGAUGGUAUCUUACCAGAAAGUCACGGCUAACUACGUGCCAGCAGCCGCGGUAAUACGUAGGUGGCGAGCGUUAUCCGGAAUGAUUGGGCGUAAAGGGUGCGUAGGUGGCAGAUCAAGUCUGGAGUAAAAGGUAUGGGCUCAACCCGUACUGGCUCUGGAAACUGAUCAGCUAGAGAACAGAAGAGGACGGCGGAACUCCAUGUGUAGCGGUAAAAUGCGUAGAUAUAUGGAAGAACACCGGUGGCGAAGGCGGCCGUCUGGUCUGGAUUCUGACACUGAAGCACGAAAGCGUGGGGAGCAAAUAGGAUUAGAUACCCUAGUAGUCCACGCCGUAAACGAUGAGAACUAGGUGUUGGGGGAAUAACUCAGUGCCGCAGUUAACGCAGUAAGUUCUCCGCCUGGGGAGUAUGCACGCAAGUGUGAAACUCAAAGGAAUUGACGGGGGCCCGCACAAGCGGUGGAGUAUGUGGUUUAAUUCGAAGCAACGCGAAGAACCUUACCAGGCCUUGACAUCCCUUGCAGAGGUAUAGAGAUAUAUCCGAGGUUAUCAAGGAGACAGGUGGUGCAUGGUUGUCGUCAGCUCGUGUCGUGAGAUGUUGGGUUAAGU